rnacentral:rRNA from 1 species
GUAGGUGGCAAGCGUUGUCCGGAAUUAUUGGGCGUAAAGCGCGCGCAGGCGGUCCUUUAAGUCUGACGUGAAACGCCCACGGCUCAACCGUGGAGGGUCAUUGGAAACUGGGGGACUUGAGUACAGAAGAGGAAAGCGGAAUUCCAAGUGUAGCGGUGAAAUGCGUAGAGAUUUGGAGGAACACCAGUGGCGAAGGCGGCUUUCUGGUCUGUAACUGACGCUGAGGCGCGAAAGCGUGGGGAGCAAACAGGAUUAGAUACCCUGGUAGUCCACGCCGUAAACGAUGAGUGCUAAGUGUUAGGGGGGUUUCCCGCCCCCCUUAGUGCUGCAGCUAACGCAUUAAGCACUCCGCCUGGGGGAGUACGGCCGCAAGGCUG